UGCGGGAUGGCUCAAUUGGCGGAGCGCGCGGCUCUGAACCGCGAGGUUCCAGGUUCGAAUCCUGGUCCCGCAG
rnacentral:tRNA from 1 species